rnacentral:rRNA from 1 species
GUCCAUGCCAUAAACGAUGAUCACUUGGUGUUGGAGGUAUUGACCCCUUCAGUGCCGAAGCUAACGCGUUAAGUGAUCCGCCUGGGGAGUACGGCCGCAAGGUUAAAACUCAAAGAAAUUGACGGGGGCCCGCACAAGCGGUGGAGCAUGUGGUUUAAUUCGAUGCAACGCGAAGAACCUUACCUAGAUUUGACAUGGUUUGGAAGACUGGCAGAAAUGUCGUCGCCCGCAAGGGCCGAAUCACAGGUGCUGCAUGGCUGUCGU